CACACAGAAGGAAAGGUGACCGCAGGAUUCACAACCAGCAUGGCAGACCCCGCUGAGCUUCCUCUGUUCCAGGAGCCCCAGGGCUGUGUGCUCUGCAGCCUGGCUUCUGUCGGACACCCCAGGACGGACAUUCUUUCCUAAAGACCCCGCACACCCCCUGCCUCCUCUUCCCUGUCCACAGGUGCUUCCAGACGGGCUCGCUGAGGUGCUGGGUUGUCAAAGGUCGCCACGGUGAAAGCAGCAGCCCCAGAUCGAGCCCUCGCCGGUCUCAGAGCCCGUGGAGACACGGAGAGGAACUGUCACCCAGCACCUACCGCCCUCAGGACACUGACUCUCUUCUCCCUUCUCCCCUCCUCUGCUCCGGAUCUUCUCCGGUGAUCUCGCCACCACCCCUCAAUGGAAGGAGAAGCGGAGUUGACCUGAGAGGCUCCCUGUUUGCACCAAACCACUAAAUGCUCACCUCAGGGCAGGUUUGAAAAUUGACUAAAAAUGAUGCCAGGAUGCUGUCGGCUUUCUCCCCCACUCCACCUUCUCCCAUGGGCCACUGGCAUCCCCAGAACCGACGGCAGAAUCAAGCACAUUCAUCCCCACGCCACAUGUGAACUGAAGAAAUUCGCCUUCCGUGAUUUGGUCUCUCUCUCGAGUCUUUAUCACAAUCCCGAGAACUCUCCCUUCGCUCUAAACCUCCUCUGAUGCUGUGUGGACAUGGAAGUUCUGCCUGGGAUGUGUCUGACAAUGCCACAUGGGAAUUACACACUGCUGGAAAAUGCUUCCCGCCUUCGAUGUGAAGAGGUGAAUUGUAAUGCAAAAUGCAGAUGAUUCUCAAGGAGACAUUAUUUAAGUGGAAGAGUUAGAUUUCUGAUAAUCCAAUUAACGAUGAGGCAUACAUAACCUGUAUGAUUACAGUGGGUAAAGUUUUACAUUUCUUGAUGAUUUGACAAAGAA